UGUGGUAGAUGCAACUCUUUU
rnacentral:siRNA from 1 species